GCAGGAAGAAGCACCUGCUUACUACCGGCCAGCAGCCACAGUAGAUACGUAGGGCUCGAGAGUCUGAUAAAUAUAGCGUUAUAGAGGUGAUAGGGGCUGUCAAGUCGGUUGCAAAGCCGGGCUAAACGCCGGGUCUGCAACUAUUUGGCAGGCUAGAGUCCGGUAGAGCAGAUCGGAGGUCCUAGUGUAGCGAUGAAAGGCGCAGAUAUCAGGAGGAACACCGAUCACGAAGGCGUAUCUCUGGGUACAUACUGUAACUGAGGAGUGAAUGCGUAGGGAGCGAACAGGAUUAGAUACUCUGGUGCUCCACGCUGUAAACGGAGACCAGUAGGUGUGAGCAAUAUUCCAUGUUGUCUGUGCCGCUGUUACCGCAAUAACUGCAUUUCCUGUGUAGUACGGCAGAAAGGCUAAAACUAAAAGGAAUUGAAGGGGGGGGGAACAAGCGGAGGAGCAUGGGGCUUAAUUCGACGCAACGCGAAGAACCUUUCCAGCCCAAGACAUACACGGGAAACGUGCGGAUACAGGCGCCCCCUUGUAGUUGGUGUACAGGUGGUGCAUGGCUGUUGUCAGCUCGUGUUCUGAGAUGUUGGUUUAAUUCCCAAAACGAGCGCAACCCUUGUCCCGUGUUGCCAGCAGGCCGUUGGGGUGUUGGGGACCCACGGGAGACCGCCGGGGUCAACUCGGAGGAAGGUGGGGACGACGCCAAGUCAUCAUCCCCCCUAUGUCUUGGGCUGCCCACCUGCUCCAAUGGCCGGUCCAAUGAGCUGCGAUACCCCGAGGUGGAGCGAAUCUCAAAAAGCCGGUCUCACUUCGGAUUGGGGUGGCAACUCGCCCCCAUGAACUGGGAGUCGCUAGUAAUCGCAGAUCACCAUUGGGCGGAAAUACUUUCCCGGCCUU
rnacentral:rRNA from 1 species